rnacentral:tRNA from 1 species
GGGGCUGUAGUGUAGUUUGGAAACACCCCUCCUAACACGGGGCCGCCCGACCGGAGUUCGAAUCUUCGCAGCCCCA